GUGGAGGAACACCAGUGGCGAAGGCGACUCUCUGGUCUGUAACUGACGCUGAGGAGCGAAAGCGUGGGGAGCGAACAGGAUUAGAUACCCUGGUAGUCCACGCCGUAAACGAUGAGUGCUAAGUGUUAGGGGGUUUCCGCCCCUUAGUGCUGCAGCUAACGCAUUAAGCACUCCGCCUGGGGAGUACGGUCGCAAGACUGAAACUCAAAGGAAUUGACGGGGGCCCGCACAAGCGGUGGAGCAUGUGGUUUAAUUCGAAGCAACGCGAAGAACCUUACCAGGUCUUGACAUCCUCUGACAACCCUAGAGAUAGGGCUUUCCCUUCGGGGACAGAGUGACAGGUGGUGCAUGGUUGUCGUCAGCUCGUGUCGUGAGAUGUUGGGUUAAGUCCCGCAACGAGCGCAACCCUUGAUCUUAGUUGCCAGCAUUCAGUUGGGCACUCUAAGGUGACUGCCGGUGACAAACCGGAGGAAGGUGGGGAUGACGUCAAAUCAUCAUGCCCCUUAUGACCUGGGCUACACACGUGCUACAAUGGACAGAACAAAGGGCUGCAAGACCGCAAGGUUUAGCCAAUCCCAUAAAUCUGUUCUCAGUUCGGAUCGCAGUCUGCAACUCGACUGCGUGAAGCUGGAAUCGCUAGUAAU
rnacentral:rRNA from 1 species